AAACUAACUAGGAUUCCCUUAGUAACGGCGAGUGAACCGGGAUGAGCUCAAAUUUGAAAUCUGGCGUCUUUCAGGCGUCCGAGUUGUAAUCUAUAGAGGCGUUUUCCGCGCCGGACCGCGUCCAAGUCUCUUGGAAUAGAGUAUCAAAGAGGGUGACAAUCCCGUACUUGACGCGACAACCGGUGCUCUGUGAUACGUUCUCAAUGAGUCGAGUUGUUUGGGAAUGCAGCUCUAAAUGGGUGGUAAAUUCCAUCUAAGGCUAAAUAUUGGCGAGAGACCGAUAGCGAACAAGUACCGUGAGGGAAAGAUGAAAAGCACUUUGGAAAGAGAGUUAAACAGCACGUGAAAUUGUUAAAAGGGAAACGAUUGAAGUCAGUCGUGUGGGAAGUAUUCAGCCGUCUCUGGCGGUGUAUUUGCUUCUCACGGGUCAACAUCAGUUUGAUCCGGUAGAAAAAGGCGGGAAGAAGGUGGCACCCUCGGGUGUGUUAUAGCUUCCUGUCAUAUGUGCCGGACCAGACUGAGGAACGCAGCUUGCAGCAAUGCCGGGGUUCGCCCACGUACAAGCUUAGGAUGUUGACU
rnacentral:rRNA from 1 species